rnacentral:rRNA from 1 species
CCUACGGGGGGCAGCAGUGGGGAAUAUUGGACAAUGGGGGGAACCCUGAUCCAGCCAUGCCGCGUGUGUGAAGAAGGCCCUCGGGUUGUAAAGCACUUUCAGUGAGGAAGAACGCCUGGUGGUUAAUACCCAUCAGGAAAGACAUCACUCACAGAAGAAGCACCGGCUAACUCCGUGCCAGCAGCCGCGGUAAUACGGAGGGUGCGAGCGUUAAUCGGAAUUACUGGGCGUAAAGCGCGCGUAGGUGGCUUGAUAAGCCGGUUGUGAAAGCCCCGGGCUCAACCUGGGAACGGCAUCCGGAACUGUCAAGCUAGAGUGCAGGAGAGGAAGGUAGAAUUCCCGGUGUAGCGGUGAAAUGCGUAGAGAUCGGGAGGAAUACCAGUGGCGAAGGCGGCCUUCUGGACUGACACUGACACUGAGGUGCGAAAGCGUGGGUAGCAAACAGGAUUAGAUACCAGAGUAGUC